rnacentral:rRNA from 1 species
UGGGGAAUAUUGGGCAAUGGGCGCAAGCCUGACCCAGCAACGCCGCGUGAAGGAAGAAGGCUUUCGGGUUGUAAACUUCUUUUAAGAGGGAAGAGCAGAAGACGGUACCUCUUGAAUAAGCCACGGCUAACUACGUGCCAGCAGCCGCGGUAAUACGUAGGUGGCAAGCGUUGUCCGGAUUUACUGGGUGUAAAGGGCGUGUAGCCGGGCGUACAAGUCAGAUGUGAAAUCCCGCGGCUUAAACCGCGGAACUGCAUUUGAAACUGUAUGUCUUGAGUAUCGGAGAGGCAGGCGGAAUUCCUAGUGUAGCGGUGAAAAUGCGUAGAUAUUAGGAGGAACACCAGUGGCGAAGGCGGCCUGCUGGACGACAAACUGACGGUGAGGCGCGAAAAGCGUGGGGAGGCAAACAAGAGUUAGAUACC